GGUCAGUGUGGUAGUCAGCACCACUCUUUGUGUUGUUGGUCAACAUAGGGAUUAAUUCGCAAGGCAGUCAUGAGCUCUUCAAGGGCAUUUCUGCACGUAUGGGCAGAUGAGGAAAAAGUCACUGGUGUUUCCUUUGUCCAAAGUCCAUUCUUCCUUGGAGCUGCAAACACUUUCUUGAAAAGAUGAGGCCUUUAUCCUUACGAACACAUUCUGCAGACUGAUUCUCUUUGGCUCAAAGAUUUCCUGUCCCGUAAUGGAAAGUAGGUGUGACGUUCUGUUUGAUAAUCCCAGGCCAGAGAUCUUGGAUGCAGCUGUCUCUUAGCGAAGAAUAAAACUGUGGACUGACCCCCACCCAUUUGCGAAGAAAGUACUGGGUCUUCAGCUUUCAUUGUUCAGCCGGUGGUCUUUGUGGACAACACCAGGGGCCCCUCCUGCUGAAGACUGUCUGGACUUCCUGAUUUUCACUCCUGUAUAAACCCCCUCCCCCAUUACUACCUUUGUCUCCUUGGGGAAAAAAAAUGUUUUUCACUUAAGCAAAAUAAUAACUACCCAGUAUUUGUUUCUGGAGUGAAAUUGUAAACUUCAUUGUACAUUCUUCCUGGCUUUGAUGCUUAUCGUGAAGAGUUCAGUGAAAAUAAAUUGUUUUUAUGAAAGCAGAGAAACCAUUUGAUAAACACGCUGUCUCUGAAAAUCGUUCCUGCAAAAGAGGUCAUUCUUUCACUUUAAAAGAAAUAGAAUAUAUUUCAGAAAACAGGCAGGACAACAUACAAAUUUUUUUUUAAGGCAGAGUGUAAAUACAGUGAAAAUUGCACACCUCCUGAUUGUGUGGAGUGUUUUGG
rnacentral:lncRNA from 1 species